GCAGCUUCUCUACCAAGAUCCAGAGGCCUCCUCAGAGAAGGGUCCUGUAUCAUGUGUAGUAAGCAGGAAUGUUCAGUGAACAUAACUAUACAAUGCAGCUGCUUCACUAACUUGUGAACAGAAAUCAUGUUGUGUUUAAAAGAAGGAACUAGCAGUACAUUGCGAAGAGUGAUGGAAGGAGUCAAUGCAAAAGAGCAUGUGCAUGUCACCUUCACUUUAUAGCCAUUUGGAAGAGUG
rnacentral:lncRNA from 1 species